GGUGUUUCGAUCUUGGUCCGCCGGUUUAACGGCCGGUUGUGUUUGCCGAGAUUGGGCAUCAUCCUCUCGAGAUGCCUAGCCUGCCCUUUACUGGGUUGGGCUUGUGUAUUUUGAGACUUUUACUUUGAAAAAAUUAGAGUGUUUAAAGCAGGCUUACGCUUUUGAAUAGAUUAGCAUGGAAUAAUAAUAUAGGACAGUAGCCCUAUUUUGUUGGUUUCUAGGGAUGCUGUA
rnacentral:rRNA from 1 species